UGCUUGCUGCUUACAACUCCCCC
rnacentral:piRNA from 1 species